rnacentral:misc_RNA from 1 species
GAUGAAGAACGCAGUGAAAUGCGAUACGUAAUGUGAAUUGCAGAAUUCAGUGAAUCAUCGAGUCUUUGAACGCACAUUGCGCCCCCUGGUAUUCCGGGGGGCAUGCCUGUCCGAGCGUCAUUGCUGCCCUCAAGCACGGCUUGUGUGUUGGGCCUCCGUCCUCCUCCCGGGGGACGGGCCCGAAAGGCAGCGGCGGCACCGCGUCCGGUCCUCGAGCGUAUGGGGCUUCGUCACCCGCUCUUGUAGGCCCGGCCGGCGCUUGCCGACACAUCAAUCUUUUUUCCUGGUUGACCUCGGAUCAGGUAGGGAUACCCGCUGAACUUAAGCAUAUCAAUAAGCGGAGGA